AGCUUCUUGAUGAUAACGAGCAUCUUCUCAGUAUCAGGAUUGUUGGUGGGGAUCACAGGCUAAGGAACUAUUCUUCGAUAAUUUCACUACAUCCAGAGAUCAUUGAUGGAAGGCCUGGAACUCUGGUGAUUGAAUCGUUUGUGGUGGAUGUGCCUGAAGGGAAUACCAAGGAUGAGACGUGCUACUUUGUUGAAGCUUUGAUCAAGUGCAACCUCAAAUCACUUGCUGAUAUCUCAGAGCGGCUUGCGGUGCAAGAUCGUACUGAGCCCAUUGACCGGAUGUGAAAAGUGGAUUUCAUUUGGUUUAGGUGGAGGGCUUGGAUUGCCGUGGAUGAAGCUUCCGGGGCUUUCGUAUCUCGGAGGCUAUGGAGUCAGACUGGCAGUAAAAACUACUUCCAUCUUCGUGAUAUAAUUUGCUCUUUUUCUUUCAUUCCCGUUUUUAUGUUAUCUGUCUUCGCUUUAAAAACUAUGUGCUGGAUUGUCCUCAUUUUUAGUAGCUCAAGAACCACAGCUGUUAUAAAAUUCUCUUUCUAAGAAUGAAAAAAAAAAAUGGGAAAAAAAGAAAGAAAAAAUAGGUUCUCCUAUUCUGUCGUUUCCAAGUUUUGUCCCUGGUGGUAUCUCCUAUUGUCUGUGUAUAUACAUAUAUAUAUAUGUUAUAUAUAUAGAUAUAAAAUAUGCUGGGAAUAGUUCAUUUUUGUGUAAAUUUUGCACCUUGUAUUGUAGUCCCGAGGUUCCUGUGGCAGACAUUUGGUUGCAGUGAAACUGUAGGGUAGCUUUACAUUUCAAGUCACUUUGUAAUUACUAUGUUCGGUACUAAACUAAUUUUAUCUUUGUUUUAAUUA